GACGAACGCUGGCGGCGUGCUUAACACAUGCAAGUCGAACGGAAAGGCCCUGCUUUUGUGGGGUGCUCGAGUGGCGAACGGGUGAGUAACACGUGAGUAACCUGCCCUUGACUUUGGGAUAACUUCAGGAAACUGGGGCUAAUACCGGAUAGGAGCUCCUGCUGCAUGGUGGGGGUUGGAAAGUUUCGGCGGUUGGGGAUGGACUCGCGGCUUAUCAGCUUUUUGGUGGGGUAGUGGCUUACCAAGGCUUUGACGGGUAGCCGGCCUGAGAGGGUGACCGGCCACAUUGGGACUGAGAUACGGCCCAGACUCCUACGGGAGGCAGCAGUGGGGAAUAUUGCACAAUGGGCGGAAGCCUGAUGCAGCAAUGCCGCGUGCGGGAUGACGGCCUUCGGGUUGUAAACCGCUUUCGCCUGUGACGAAGCGUGAGUGACGGUAAUGGGUAAAGAAGCACCGGCUAACUACGUG
rnacentral:rRNA from 1 species